CUCUCUCUCUCUCUCUCUCUCUCUCUCUCUCUCUCUCGAACCCGAUCCUCUUCUGUCUUCUUCGUCGGAAUCUAACAUCAUUGUGUUUUCUUCAUCUGAUUCUCACGUUCCGACCAUGAGAUGUUAGAUGUUAGGUUGUGAAGACAGAAGACAACAAGUAGCUACUUAGAGACGGCAAUGAAUCACGAGCAAAUACAACUGGUGGAAACAUUAGAGCUUUAGAGGUUCGAGUGCGAGACUAAGGGAGUUGAUGGCAUCAUGUUUCUGUUUUUUUUGGUCCAUCAUUAUGAUUUCUUCUGGUCCCUCAUUGUGUAUUUUAGACAUUCUCAGUGUUUUUUUGAAACUAUGUGAAUCUAUGCCUCUUUGAAUGUUUGCUAGUUGCAAAUAGCCAUAGAUUCUGAAUCUUUUCUCUUUUGUUAUGAGUUAUGAUGAUAGGGAAAAAUAUGAAAAUUAUAUGUUUUUA